CGGCGGACGGGUGAGUAACGCGUGGGUAACCUGCCUCAUACAGGGGGAUAACAGUUAGAAAUGACUGCUAAUACCGCAUAAGACCACAGCACCGCAUGGUGCGGGGGUAAAAACUCCGGUGGUAUGAGAUGGACCCGCGUCUGAUUAGCUGGUUGGCGGGGUAACGGCCCACCAAGGCGACGAUCAGUAGCCGGCCUGAGAGGGUGAUCGGCCACAUUGGGACUGAGACACGGCCCAA
rnacentral:rRNA from 1 species